rnacentral:rRNA from 1 species
GAUGAACGCUGGCGGCGUGCUUAACACAUGCAAGUCGAGCGGUGAAGCAGAGCUUGCUCUGUGACUCAGUGGCGAACGGGUGAGUAACACAUGAGCAGCCUGCCCCUCACUCUGCGAUGAGCGCUGUAAACGGCCUCUUAUUCUGGACAUAUGCUGCCACCGCACGGUCAGCAGUUGUAAAGAUUUUUCGGUUUGGGAUGGGCGCACGGCCUAUCAGCUUUUUUGUGAGGUAAUGGCUGACCAAGGAGUCGACGGGUAGCCGGCCUGGGAGGGUGACAGGGCACACAGGGACUGAGAAGCGGCCCAGAGUGCUACGGGAGGCAGCAGUGGGGAAUAGUGCACGAUGGGCGGAAGGCUGAUGCAGCAACGCCGCGUGGGGGAUGACGGCCUGCGGGUAGUAAACCUCUUGUGGCAGGGAAGAAGCGAAAGUGACGGUACCUGCAGAAAAAGCGACGGCUAACUACGUG